AACUGAUAACUACAAAGUUAACUGCUAACUGGUUUAUGUUUUGAGUUUCCUUUAAAUUGAUUUCUGAUAGCAGUCAGUAGCUACAGAAUUGACUGUUUGUUUUUUUCAUUUUUCAUCCUGAUUCCCUUAUUGAUUUGUUCUCAGUUGUCAUCCAUUGAAAACCUAUAGAGGUACCUGCUAACUGGAUUUGUAUUUUGAAUUCCUUGUAAGUGUUUUGGGAUCAGCUGACAGCUAUAGCAUCAACUGGUAUCUGUCUUGUGUUUAUUUUGCAUUUUUGACCCCUCUAUUGGUUUGUUAUCAGUUCUUAUCAGUUAAAACUUAUAAAAUCAAUUGUUUGUCUUCCUUUCUGCAUUUGGAUUAUUGUAAUUGAUUUUGUUAUCAGUGGCAUCAGUUAAUACCUAUAAUACCUCCUAACUGGCCUUGUAUUCUGAAUUUUCAGGUCUAACUGGUAUUUGUUUUAUGUUCAUUUUUGCAUUCAGAUUCUUUUAUUGGUUUUGUUAUCAGGUGUGAUCAGUUAACAGCCAUAGUGUUUACUGCCAGUUACUUUUCUUUUUAAGUUUGAGCUGAUUUCUGAUAUUGGUAAACAGCUAUAGAAUUAGUGGGUAUUUUUAUACAUUUGUCUCUGGACGUUGAUCAUUAUAAAUCAAUCUUGCCAUCAGUUGUAAUCAAUUGAAAGCUAUAGAGUUAACUGCUAAUUGGUUCUGUGUUCUAACCCCCCUAAAUUGAUCUCUGAUAUUAGGAAACAGCUACAACCGGUUUGUUUUUGUGUCUGUGUAAAGGACAUCGAUCGAUUUAAUUAAUUUUGUCAUCAGUCAGUAAUCAACUGACCGCUAUAGAAUUAACUGUAUUUGUUUCUGAUCUUUCCAUUUGAUCUUAAGGCUGGUUUCUCUUAUCAGUUGAUGAUGGUUGAAAUGCUCUUAGGGUCAACUGCUAUUUGUUCAUGUAUGUGAUCAUGCAUUUUGAUUUUGAAUUAAGUUAGUAGUUUACACUCUUAGGGUUAGCUGCUAGCUGUUUCUGAUUUCUGCAUUUUAUUUUGAGACUGAAUUCUCUUAUUGGUUGGUGGGAGCUGACACUCUUAGGACUAUUCUGUUAUUGGUUGAUGAUGGUUAAACACUCUUAGGCUUCACUGCCAUUUACUCUACAUCUGCUCUUGUAUCUUGAUGUUUUAGGAUACAAGAGCAGAUGUAGAUCUUGAGGUUAAUUUCUGUCAUCAGUUGAUGAGCUAUUAAUGAUCUUGGGGUUAGUUGUUUUGCUUUGCAUUAGACUGUAGGUGUGGGUUGUUGUUGUUGUGUUUUUUAAUCAUUUACCAGCAGGAUUGAACAGCUAUGAUUUUGCUUGCUUUAAAUUAGAAUCAUUGAGUUUGCAGUUUUAUUUCAGAAUUAUUCCUUGUUAAAAUUGAAAUCUGCGGUUUCAGAAAAAGAAAAAGCAUUGUGUAACCCAUGGUUAUUUUAUUGACAAUUGUAUUGUAUUUUUAUUCUAAUUUUAAGUGUUACUGUUUUGUUAAGUGCUGAGUUUUCCCAUGUACCGUGAAUGCACCAUAGCGCUGUGCGUGGUGACUUUCUUUCACUGCAUCCUCCUGCACGGACCUAGAUGCGCAAAGCUGUGUGGAGAUUCAGUCCUAUAACGUGUUGCGGUACGGAAUUAAUGUUUUCUUUGAAGAAUAUCCUGGCUGUUUUUUUUGUGGUAGAAAUCUGCUACAAGGACCGAGCGGUGCCAUCUAAGGACUGGAUGCCACUGGAGGUGCCUAGGAAGGACAUUCUCAAUCUGAAGGCCACCUGUUUCCUUGGAGGGUGGUAGGAUACAACGAUUUGCAAUUUCUUUUUAAGGAUUAACGUUUUUUUUACUGAGAUCUCAGGACGCUUUAAGUUGUUACUUUUUCUUUUUGGGUCAGAUCUGAUUCCACUUAGCACAAAAAACUGAUGCAUCUAAAAGCAAAACUGUGACUAAAGACAAUUAACACUUACUAAGAACACCGAAUACAAAGUGCACUGAACUGAAAUGGACAGCCUACCUAAUACAUUUAUGAACACUUUAAGUGAUAUAUUGUACAUUGUUGAGAUUUACAUGUUUGAAAUGAUUUAAAUGUUUUGUUCAUGUCUAUGUUUGGACCAUUUAAAUGUUGAAUACACUCAAAUCACUUUUUUCCUUUAA